CAAACAAAGCUAUUAAAAUUGAAGACGUUAUAUAUUAUUAGACAUGAGGAAUUCAUUCAAGAAAGGGAGCAAUAUCAAUAUACUUGGGUGUGAGAUCUCUGCUGUCUUUGAAGUCAUGUGACAAAUUUAUAAGGAGCACUAUGGCAAAUCUUAGUUACAUGGAAGCCAAUAUCCAUAUAACUGUUACACUAAAAAGAAAUAUAGACAUAGUAAUAGGCUGAUAUAUAAAAGAGGAGUUCUUUUUAUCUUUGGUAAACAAUCAUUCCAUUUAUUUGUUCUUGCACAAUAAAUAAAGUUUUGGUCCUUUUUCUUUCUUUCUUUUUGAAACACACUAGUAGACACAUUCUAUGUAAGCCAAAUACUGAUUUAUACAAUGGACUUGGUUCUUGAAAAUUACAUAACACCGCAUUGCUUGGGAAAUUAGAAACA